rnacentral:rRNA from 1 species
UGGGGAAUAUUGGACAAUGGGCGAAAGCCUGAUCCAGCAACGCCGCGUGAGGGAUGACGGCCUUCGGGUUGUAAACCUCUUUCAGUACCGACGAAGCGCAAGUGACGGUAGGUACAGAAGAAGCACCGGCUAACUACGUGCCAGCAGCCGCGGUAAUACGAAGGGGGCGAGCGUUGUCCGGAAUUAUUGGGCGUAAAGGGCGCGUAGGUGGUGGCUUAAGCGUGCGGUGAAAGCUCGGGGCUCAACUCCGAGUCGGCCGUGCGAACUGGGCUCACUGGAGCAUAGUAGAGGCAGGUGGAAUUCCGGGUGUAGCGGUGGAAUGCGUAGAGAUCCGGAAGAACACCGGUGGCGAAGGCGGCCUGCUGGGCUAUGGCUGACACUGAGGCGCGACAGCGUGGGGAGCAAACAGGAUUAGAUACC